GUUUUCUAUUGUAUGUUCAACUGUUACGCACUUACCUCUGACCUGAACGGUGAGACGGCUUAAUGAGUGACUGAGAGUUUCUUCUCACUUUUUUUAAUGGUGACGCCACCUACACUUCCCAGUGUUUCCGGGACGUACGUGAACCAACAUGAAGAUCAGGGAAAACUAUUUGUUUACAGACAUGUUCAUGUUUAUUUCAACCAGAGAAACAGAAAGUAAAACGUACUUAAAGUAAAGAUCAAACUGAGGUCAGGUGUUUACAAGUCAGUCCACACUUCAGCUUCAGGAGCCACAACACAAAACAGCUGUCUACCACAUCUUGCUCUAAAUGAAAUGAGAUUUCCUACCCUGCUGCUGUGAGGAGUUCCCAAAAGCAGGGUCAGAAAACUGGCCUGACGGCUAUAUCGCUGCAUAGGAGAGUGUGUGACUUUUGGAAAACGGCUGAUUGGAUCUCUGAAAGUAUUUAAGGAAGGGGCGACCGAAACUAAGCACCCCCACGUCCCUUGAAGGGCCAACGAUGAUGAGGGGAUUAUUCAGGAGAUAAACUGCUGAAGAUACGAGUGGAGAGUUUUGCCACGAGCAGAAUUUAGAGAGGACAUCGUGUGUUGAGACAGGAAGAAAGCAUUCGCGAUGCAUGAUGUGACGACUGUAUUUCCUGUGAUAGAAUGCUGGAAGCCCUGAUUUCACCUCAGGAGAAAACAAUUUACCAGAUGACCUGAACAAAGGCGGCAGUGUACUGUGAGGGUGCAUUUCAGGGAAAAUGAGGUGGUUCUCAAGGAGGAAACCGUUUUCCAGCUCAACAGGCUGCUAGCCACACUCAGCAACAAUGAAGCAACCAGAGAAAUCCCACUAUGGUCCACAUGUCUUACAGUGGAGCAGGAAGUAUUCAUACCCCUGAAAUCAAAAGCUACCACGUAGUUUACUGGUGUUUUCUGCUUUGGAGUAGAAAGAAAAGAAUAACUGGAGGAGCUGCAUGGGUUCACAGCUCAGGUUUGAGACUCAUUCAAUAGGACAGAAGAAAGACAUUUUU